AUUGAACGCUGGCGGCAGGCCUAACACAUGCAAGUCGAGCGGAGCGGCUGACGGGUGAGUAAUGCCUAGGAAUCUGCCUGGUAGUGGGGGAUAACGUCCGGAAACGGGCGCUAAUCCCGCAUACUAUCAGAUGACCCUCGGUCGGAUUCGCUAGUUGGGGGGGUAAAGGCCUACCCAGGCGACGAUCCGUAACUGGUCUGAGAGGAUGAUCAGUCACACGGGAACUGAGACACGGGCCAGACUCAUACGGGAGGCAGCAGUGGGGAAUAUUGGACAAUGGGCGAAAGCCGGAUCCAGCCAUGCCGCGUGUGUGAAGAAGGUCUGCGGAGUGUAAAGCACUUUAAGUUGGGAGGCGUUACCAACAGAAUAAGCACCGGCUAACUUCGUGCCAGCAGCCGCGGUAAUAC
rnacentral:rRNA from 1 species